rnacentral:lncRNA from 1 species
CUUAUUUGACAGCCUAUUACCAUAAAUCUAAGAAACAACGUUUGCCUAACCUUGGAUGGCAACCUCCUGCGCAAAAUAAUUAUAAGCUAAAUACUGACGGAGCCUAUGGUACAAAUGCAAGUGGAAUUGGAGGAUCAAUUCGAGAUUCAAAGGGUGAAUGGAUACUAGGGUUUGCACAAGCUAUCCACAAGGGAUCGUCGCUAUCAACGAAGCUAUAUGCUUUAAUUACAGGACUUAAAUUGGUCUUACAACAUAAUUUAUUACCUAUUCAAGUUGAGUUAGAUGCUCAACAUAUUAUUACAUUGUUGCAAACUGACAACCUUCCAUUUGCCAAUAUGCUAAAUGACUGUAGGUACCUCCUCCACCAGCUUAAUAAUCUGCCUGUCCAAUAUGCGUACAGAAAGCAGAAUGCUGUAGUAGACCACUUAGCAAAGGCAGCCAAAUGUUUUGUUCAGACUUCUGAUCCAUAUGUCUAUCCUGUAGCACCACUUUUUGUGAACCAAGCGUUGGAAGCUGAUAAGAAACACUUUUUGGAUGUAAAUAUAAGCCAGAGAACAGGCUCUAUUCCCAGUUCCUAUGUAAACAAUAUGAUGCAUGUUAAUGGUAGUAGUAGUAUUAAUGUAGCUAGUGUAUUACAGUAUGGCACUAAAGCCACUUGUAAUGGAAGACUCUCUGUACGCAGUACUUAAAUAUAUAUAAAUAUUAUCUUUUGUACCAAAAAAAAAAAAAACAGAGCCUUCUGCAUAUAAACUAUAAAGUAACUUUUGCCAUUUAUAAAAAAAAAAAAAAAAAAAAAAAAAAAAUUAAAAAUAAAAAUAAAAAUUGCCAUUUAUCUGAUUUACCAAUGUCUAGAAGAGCAGGCCCAUACUGCAUUCAUCAUUGUUCGAUUCACAAUAUCUUGGCUUUUCCAAGCACUUCUAUAGACCACUCAUGCUUCAAUUUUCUUGUCACUACAUGAACCUUCAUAGUUAGCUCAUUGUAAAUAGCCCAUAGGUGUUAGAUUUCUUAAAAAAUAUUUUUAAAUGCUGAAAUUGAGUUGAUAAAUAUACAACUUGUGUUUUUAUUUGAAAAGAAAAUGCUGAUAAG